rnacentral:sRNA from 1 species
UCCACAUCCAACUUUUAAGAUGAUCCCUAACAGGAUUAAAGUCCUCCACAAGCAGGCAGAGGCAAGCUAUUCAGAAAAACAAGGUCAUGCUGCAUUUUUAUUUUUUUUUUUGGUAAGCACAGGAAUCAACAAAGAGAUGUUAUAUAACUUCUAUUUAUAUCCCACUUGCUCACUAGCUGCAGGCACACACGAGUAGCUGAGGAGGGAAUUUAAUGAGCUCUCAGGGCUUGCUCACCUUCCAGAGCUGGUAGGAGCCAGCUUGUUUUUGAAGUGCGUCAGCAAAUGAAACUGGUGGUGGGUGGGUGGUUUGGGUAGGUGGACUGACUUGUUGCUAUGGUUUUCUUUAAUUCCUCUGUCUCUCAA